rnacentral:lncRNA from 1 species
CUUGCCCGGUGCUGCAGUUUCACUACUGCUGGUGGCAACAGUAGUAGUAGUAGGUAGGACCAUAGCUGUCACACUCAAAUGGACCAAAAUGGCACCGUUAAUUCCCUUCAUCGUCAAUUGCUCAUGUAGUAGAUGUUUUUGGUCUGUCGUCAAUUACUAGAGAUCGGAGUUUGUCAACGAGUAGUCUGGAUUGCUCACGUAGACUAUUGAUAUUGAUGGAGCUAGGCCUCUGCUGCCGCUGCGCUUAUUGGUGCUGGAGGAGGAAAAUGAGAGCUAAUUAUGUGGUGGUGCCGAGGAGGAGUAGUGGUGGUAGAAGGUAACUCCUUAAAUUUGCCUGUUUAUUUUCGUUUCUAUUUUUUUUUAAUUUUUAACCUAUAUGUCCUCCUUUUUUUUGCCCUCUUCGAGAUGAUCUGAAAGAAAAGCUUCAACUCCAGAUCUUCAAGCUAAAGUAGUAGAGCGAGGUAUGCUUGAUUUUCUCCACUUUUUUUCCUAAUUAUUUCAUUUCAUUGGGAUUUUUUUUUCUGAUUUUUCCUAAAAAAGAAAGAAUACAGAAAAUCGUUCUUUUUUCCCUUUUAUUUCUUAGGGUAUUUUUUCCAUUAAUUGAACUAGGAUCUACUUAUUUUUCUAAAUUUGUAUGGACCAUCUAAUCAUUUUCAUUUAGUGCCCUUUAUUUAUUAUUGGUGAUUUUUAUAAAUUGAGUGCUUAACCUUUACUAUUGUAGGUUUGACUGUAACAAUCCUAAUAGCUAUAUUAGUAGCAGCAGUAAUCCCAAAAAGAAAGAUGGAUUCCUUUAGGUUAUGCCACCGUCAAGCAAGAGGUACUUUUUUCCUCCUCUUUUUUUUUUCUAGAGCAUUGGUUUUAUGUGUUCAAUUUUUUUUUUUAAUGUUCCUUUAUGAAUUGACAUUGUUCUUUUUCUUUUUUCUACCUCUUGGAUUCUGAAUUUUUCUCAUGAGUUUUGAAUCAAGGAGCUGGAGUAAUUAGGUCCCAAUAAAGGCUGGUGAAAGAUGUUGUCCAGAGUUUAGUGGAUGAUGACCUUGUUUCAAAAGACAAGAUAGGGACUACUGUGAGUAAACUUGUGAGAACCCAGAAAAAAAAAAAAAAUUUUUAUUUAUUUAUUAUUUUAUUCCUGUGCACCCGUUUUCUUUUAAUUUCUUUAUUAUAUUACUUUUAUCAAUAUUUUAUCAGUAAAUAUAGUUCUUAAAUCAUUUUUCUAGUAUAAGGUAGUUCGUGAGAAUUUUGGAACGUCUUUUGGUCGCGGGACCCACUAGUGCAUUAAGUGAGAGAAAUUUGACCAAGUAGGUUAAUUUUUUUGCGUAAAGAAAUUUUGUUACUAGGUAUUAGGAGAUAAUUGGAGGUUUUCUAGAUGGAUUAGCCAUGAGGGACAAGAAGAUAGCUCUAGCAAAAAUAAUGCGCCAAGUGUCAAAUUGUUGUUGGACUAAACUUGCCUAACUUUGCCUAACUUUCUUUAACUUGAAUAAAAGACCAAAAAUUGACCAAAUCAUCUUCAUUUCAGCCUUGUCUUGGCCGAACCUCUCUAGCAAGCAAAGGAAAAAAUUCUUCAACCUUCCAUCUUCUAAUCUUGCUCAAAUCUUGAAAACUAGCCGUUUGUUUCUUGAAUUAGUCCAUAAAAACAUCUUGCUAAGGGUCUUUGAAGAACUUGGUGGUGUUGUUUUGGAAGAAAACCUCACAAGCUACAACCUUUCUUGAAGAACUAAGGUAUCUUGCUUGGAACUCAUCUUUUGUUAUAAAUUUUGGCCAAUUGGUGCCUUAUAGUAGCUAUUUACGCGAUUUUUCGGAAGAUUUGGUGGAUUGGAGUGAAGUUUCCUAAUUUUCUGAUUUUUCUGGAUUUUUUUCUGGAAUUUUCUGUUUUCCUAUGAUGGAUAUGAUUGAGCUUGAAUUGGUGGUUCUAAAUGGUAUUAAAUAGUUCUCUUGUGCGUUAAUUGUGGUUAAUUGCGGAAAAUUUCCGCUUGUGCGGAAAAUUUCAGAUUUAGGGUUUCAAAUUGGGGGUUUUCUAUUGUUGAUUGUUGAACUUCUAAUUGGCUAUAAUUGAAGGGUAUUAUGACCCUAAUGACGCAUAUGGAAUGGCUUAUAUAUUGUUUGGGUGCUUGUGGUUGUGUUGGAUGGCUUUUAUUGGUUGUCUUAUAGGUUGGAAAAGCUGAAAUUUUAGGGGAAAUGCUGUCCAAGUGUCUAGGGUAUUGGAUUCUUAUGUGUUGGGUUGAGAUUUGAUAGAAGUGAAUAAUCUUAGGGUUUAUUUCUACUUUUAACCCUACAUGUUAUGUAUUUUUCAUUUCCAAGCUAUAUUUGGGUCUUGCCUUAAUAGUUCCUAGAAAAAGGUAUUCGACUUGUGUUUGCGUUUUCAUUGUACUUUCUUGAUUGUUAUAGGGCAUGCCGGUGAUCCGAGGCUCACGUCGGGCGAAAACUUGUGAAAUUUCUUUGUUGAACUUG